CAAUAGCGUAUAUUAAAGUUGUUGCAGUUAAAAAGCUCGUAGUUGGAUUUCUGGUGGGAGCGAUCGGUCUGGCGCUUAGCGCGAGUACUUGCAUCGUCUCCGGCCAUCCUUGGGGAGAGUCUGUCUGGCAUUAAGUUGUCGGGCAGAGGAUCCUCAUCGUUUACUGUGAAAAAAUUAGAGUGUUCAAAGCAGGCUUAUGCCGUUGAAUAUAUUAGCAUGGAAUAAUAAGAUAGGACUUUGGUACUAUUUUGUUGGUUUGCGCACCAAAGUAAUGAUUAAUAGGGACAGUUGGGGGUAUUCGUAUUCCGUUGUCAGAGGUGAAAUUCUUGGAUUUACGGAAGACGAACUACUGCGAAAACAUUUACCAAGGAUGUUUUCAUUAA
rnacentral:rRNA from 1 species